CAACAAAUGCCCUGCUUCCAGGAAAAGCCUCUAAGCAUCAGGUAACAUCAAAUCGUACCCCAAACCGACACAGGUGGUCAGGUAGAGAAUACCAAGGCGCUUGAGAGAACUCGGGUGAAGGAACUAGGCAAAAUGGUGCCGUAACUUCGGGAGAAGGCACGCUGAUAUGUAGGUGAAGCGACUUGCUCGUGGAGCUGAAAUCAGUCGAAGAUACCAGCUGGCUGCAACUGUUUAUUAAAAACACAGCACUGUGCAAACACGAAAGUGGACGUAUACGGUGUGACGCCUGCCCGGUGCCGGAAGGUUAAUUGAUGGGGUUAGCCGCAAGGCGAAGCUCUUGAUCGAAGCCCCGGUAAACGGCGGCCGUAACUAUAACGGUCCUAAGGUAGCGAAAUUCCUUGUCGGGUAAGUUCCGACCUGCACGAAUGGCGUAAUGAUGGCCAGGCUGUCUCCACCCGAGACUCAGUGAAAUUGAACUCGCUGUGAAGAUGCAGUGUACCCGCGGCAAGACGGAAAGACCCCGUGAACCUUUACUAUAGCUUGACACUGAACAUUGAGCCUUGAUGUGUAGGAUAGGUGGGAGGCUUUGAAGUGUGGACGCCAGUCUGCAUGGAGCCGACCUUGAAAUACCACCCUUUAAUGUUUGAUGUUCUAACGUUGACCCGUAAUCCGGGUUGCGGACAGUGUCUGGUGGGUAGUUUGACUGGGGCGGUCUCCUCCUAAAGAGUAACGGAGGAGCACGAAGGUUGGCUAAUCCUGGUCGGACAUCAGGAGGUUAGUGCAAUGGCAUAAGCCAGCUUGACUGCGAGCGUGACGGCGCGAGCAGGUGCGAAAGCAGGUCAUAGUGAUCCGGUGGUUCUGAAUGGAAGGGCCAUCGCUCAACGGAUAAAAGGUACUCCGGGGAUAACAGGCUGAUACCGCCCAAGAGUUCAUAUCGACGGCGGUGUUUGGCACCUCGAUGUCGGCUCAUCACAUCCUGGGGCUGAAGUAGGUCCCAAGGGUAUGGCUGUUCGCCAUUUAAAGUGGUACGCGAGCUGGGUUUAGAACGUCGUGAGACAGUUCGGUCCCUAUCUGCCGUGGGCGCUGGAGAACUGAGGGGGGCUGCUCCUAGUACGAGAGGACCGGAGUGGACGCAUCACUGGUGUUCGGGUUGUCAUGCCAAUGGCACUGCCCGGUAGCUAAAUGCGGAAGAGAUAAGUGCUGAAAGCAUCUAAGCACGAAACUUGCCCCGAGAUGAGUUCUCCCUGACUCCUUGAGAGUCCUGAAGGAACGUUGAAGACGACGACGUUGAUAGGCCGGGUGUGUAAGCGCAGCGAUGCGUUGAGCUAACCGGUACUAAUGAACCGUGUCUCC
rnacentral:rRNA from 1 species